CCUACGGGGGGCAGCAGUGAGGAAUAUUGGUCAAUGGACGGAAGUCUGAACCAGCCAUGCCGCGUGCAGGAAGACGGCUCUAUGAGUUGUAAACUUCUUUUGCCAAGGGACAAAAUCAGGCUCGAGAGCCUGACCGAGGGUACUUGAAGAAAAAGCAUCGGCAAACUCCGUGCCAGCAGCCGCGGUAAUACGGAGGAUGGGAGCGUUAUCCGGAUUUAUUGGGUUUAAGGGGUGCGUAGUCGGACUGUUAAGACAGCGGUAAAAGCCCGGGGCUCAACCCCGGCGAGCCGUUGAAACUGGCUGUCUUGAGAUGUCGAGAGGUAUGCGGAAUGCGCAGUGUAGCGGUGAAAUGCUUAGAUAUUGCGCAGAACUCCGAUUGCGAAGGCAGCAUACCGGCGGCGAUCUGACGCUGAGGCACGAAAGCGUGGGUAUCGAACAGGAUUAGAUACCCUUGUAGUC
rnacentral:rRNA from 1 species